rnacentral:rRNA from 1 species
CCUACGGGAGGCAGCAGUGAGGAAUAUUGGUCAAUGGACGAGAGUCUGAACCAGCCAAGUAGCGUGAAGGAUGACUGCCCUACGGGUUGUAAACUUCUUUUAUAUGGGAAUAAAAUGUUCCACGUGUGGGAUUUUGUAUGUACCAUAUGAAUAAGGAUCGGCUAACUCCGUGCCAGCAGCCGCGGUAAUACGGAGGAUCCGAGCGUUAUCCGGGUUUAUUGGGUUUAAAGGGAGCGUAGGUGGAUUGUUAAGUCAGUUGUGAAAGUUUGCGGCUCAACCGUAAAAUUGCAGUUGAAACUGGCAGUCUUGAGUACAGUAGAGGUUGGCGGAAUUCGUGGUGUAGCGGUGAAAUGCUUAGAUAUCACGAAGAACUCCGAUUGCGAAGGCAGUUCACUGGACUGCAACUGACACUGAGGCUCGAAAGUGUGGGUAUCAAACAGGAUUAGAUACCCUAGUAGUC